GUUCAGUUCUUCGGAAUUCAUUUGUAAAGCUGCCUCUAUGGGGAAAAAUGGGGGUUGAGUAUCGCUUUGUU
rnacentral:tRNA from 2 species